CUUGCUGGCUUUCACUUGCGUCAUGCGUGCGGUUUUUUUACUUUAGCGCCAUUUUGUAAUUAUGUUCGGUGAAUUGUGAUUUGCGAUUGCGGUGUUUUCUGUAUUUGAUCAAUAACAUCACCAGAUAUAUACCAUUUGUGAUUUUGUUAUAAUACACCCAAGUUCUGGUGUAACCUGCAAUGGAUAAUCAGCGUGAAAAAGAGCGUGAUCGAUCGCGGCGCGGAGAUCGGCCAUCUAGAUUCUCUGAUGCAACCAGAGACCGAUCUAGCGACCGCGACCGAACCGAAGGGAAAAGAUUGUUUGUAUCUAACAUUCCGUAUGAGUUCCGCUGGACUGAGCUAAAGGAUUUGUUCAAAGAGAAGGUUGGAGAUGUGGCCUAUGUUGAGUUAUUCAAUGACGAGAACGGGAAACCUAGAGGAUGUGGUGUCGUCGAAUUCACGAACUCUGAAGCAAUGAAGAAAGCUCUUUUUGUUAUGCACCGAUAUGAGCUGAAUGGUCGCAAACUUGUUUUGAAGGAAGAAACAGUUUCAGGGAAUGAUAGGAACAGAAUGAACUCUUCGAGGUCAGGCGGUGGCGGCGGCGGCGGUGGUAACCGAAACAACAGGGAUGAUAAAGAUAGUUUCAGUUGGGGCAUCAACAAACCAAGGGAACCAGAGAAUUAUAAUACCUAUGGACUCAGUCUACAGUUCCUUGAAUCUAUCAAUGUACAGCCACCUCUAGUCAAAAAAGUUUUUGUUGCUAAUCUCGAUUACAAAGCAGACAGGGCUAAAAUAAAAGAGGUUUUCAAAAUGGCGGGUAAAGUGCGCAACAUUGAUCUGGCAGUAGACAAAGAUGGAAACAGCAGAGGAUUUGCUGUCAUUGAAUAUGAUCAUCCUGUUGAAGCCGUUCAGGCCAUUUCAAUGUUUGAUAAACAAAUGCUGUAUGACAGAAGAAUGACAGUUCGUAUGGACAGGGGUGUCACAGACAAGAGUGAAGUAAGGCUCCCAGAAGGACUUAAGAGCAUUGGUCUUGGUUUAGGACCAAAUGGGGAACCAUUGAGAGAUGUAGCAAGGAACCUACCACCUCAGACACCGGCUACCACUAACUUGAACCUUGCAAACACUGGAACAGCCUUAGGUGCUGGAGUUUUGGGAGCUGUGCCAACCGCUGGUGUCACCCUGAAUGGUCUGGGAGCAGGAUUAUCAGCAAAUACUCUGAAUACCAACACAGCUUUGGGAGGCAAUCUAGGACUUCAGGCAUUGAGUUUAACAGGAUUAGGGGCUCUCCAAAAUCAGUUGCUGCAGCAAGGAUUAACUGCUAAUGACUUGGCAACAGUGCUCACAGCACAAGCAAAUGCCAAUCAGAAUAACUUGGCACUUGGCAACACAGAUUUGGGAUCAGGUCUCAAUCUGAGCAACUCUGGUUUGACCAACAGCGUGAUGGGAAAUAACUCACUCAGCUCUGGACCUCUAUCAGGUACCAACAGACAAAUGGGAGGUGUGACAGUGUCGGCACAAUACGGGCGGGACCCGGGCGUGCAACAAUCAAGCCGCGACAAGUCUUCUGACAUGGUCAUCAUAACUAACUUGCCACAAACAGUGACAUGGCAAUUGAUUCGUGAGAAGUUCAGUGAAUGCGGCGAUGUUAAGUUCGCUGAAAUGACCGCGCCGGACACAGCGGUCGUACGCUUCCACAAAGAAUGGGAUGCAGAAAGGGCAAUAAAAAUGUUUGACCGGACCCGCAUCGAUGGUAGAACAAUAGAUGUUCGCUUCUUCUAGCAGUCGAAACCAGAAGAGUGAUAAAAAUCAAGCUAUGAUGCUAUGAGAAUACAUGAUAUGAUGAAAGGAUCAAAUUCCUAAAAAAAAUAUUCUAGCUGCGCUACCUGCCGCUUCAAAAGCGUCUAUCACUUUGGACGAGGUGUCAGUGAUGCAAGGUAAUGCACAUACAGUCAGAACGCCAACUAGGACGGCGCACUUGAGAGACAAUAUUAAGCGAAAAGGCUUCGGUUGAAGAGGUACUUUCGAGAAAGUAAUAAUAAUAAUAAUUUUGAGAAGAGUUAUGUAUCAGGAGAUAUUGAAUAAAUCGUGUUUUAUUUA
rnacentral:misc_RNA from 1 species